UCCCUCUGUUCCUCUUUUUGCGGAAGCAACUUUUUCUACCUCCUUCUCGUCUACAGAAGUGUCUGUUCUCUCUCCGUCACUCUGUCGGUAGCUUUCGCGUCGACUGGCCAGAGUCCGCGAGCUGUUCUCUCCAGUCAUCUCUCCUUCCGUAUCAUCCCUCCAUCUCAGGGAACUACAGAGGCCUCUCAUUGGCUCAUCUCACUUCCUGUUUCUGCAUUGUCCCGAUUUGGUUAUGUCUUACCACAGCUUCUUGCUCGAGCCAAUCAGCUGCCACUCCUGGAACAAGGACCGGACCCAGAUUGAUCUGAUGAUAUA